rfam:Neolentinus lepideus HHB14362 ss-1 unplaced genomic scaffold NEOLEscaffold_2, whole genome shotgun sequence.
GCCCUUAUAGCUCAGUGGUAGAGCGCAUCACUCGUAUGUCAUUAGAUUAUGAUGAGGUCCGUCGUUCAAUCCGGCGUGGGGGCA